UACGUAGGUGGCGAGCGUUGUCCGGAUUUACUGGGCAUAAAGCGUGCGUAGGUGGUUGAUUAAGUUAUCUGUGAAAUCCCUGGGCUCAACCUGGGCAGGUCAGAUGAUACUGAUUGACUCGAGUAUAGGAGAGGGUAGUGGAAUUUCCGGUGUAGCGGUGAAAUGUGUAGAGAUCGGGAGGAACACCGGUGGCGAAGGCGGUCUUCUGGACGGUGACUGACGCUGAGGCGCGAAAGCGUGGGGAGCAAACGGG
rnacentral:rRNA from 1 species